rnacentral:lncRNA from 1 species
GUACACGAGAAACAACAGCUUUCCUCAUGGUGGUUUUAUUCUGGCUGUGAGAGAUUUUCAAUUAGCAAGAACAGUUUUUAAAACAAAAAAAAUAAAUGGAUUUGGGUGUUCAUGUACACUAGUUGAAAGUCUGUUCACGCAUAUUUACCUAUGAAUGUUAUUUUCAAUUAGCAAGAACAGUUUUUAAAACAAAAAAAAUAAAUGGAUUUGGGUGUUCAUGUACACUAGUUGAAAGUCUGUUCACGCAUAUUUACCUAUGAAUGUUAUUUGUAUCUCUGGCUCCUUUAUAAUUACAUCACCUUGUUUAGGA